rnacentral:rRNA from 1 species
UACGAAGGGGGCUAGCGUUGCUCGGAAUUACUGGGCGUAAAGGGCGCGUAGGCGGACAGCUUAGUCAGAGGUGAAAGCCCAGGGCUCAACCUUGGAAAUGCCUUUGAUACUGGCUGUCUUGAGUUCGGGAGAGGUGAGUGGAAUGCCGAGUGUAGAGGUGAAAUUCGUAGAUAUUCGGCGGAACACCAGUGGCGAAGGCGACUCACUGGCCCGAUACUGACGCUGAGGCGCGAAAGCGUGGGGAGCGAACAGG